CUCGGGAAACUGAGGCUAAUCCGGAAUAGGGCUCUCAUCCUGGAGUGGAGAGAGCCUGAAACGCUCCGGCGCUAUAGGAUGUGGCUGCGGCCGAUUAGGUAGACGGUGGGGUAACGGCCCACCGUGCCAGUAAUCGGUACGGGUUGUGAGAGCAAGAGCCCGGAGACGGUAUCUGAGACAAGAUACCGGGCCCUACGGGGCGCAGCAGGCGCGAAACCUUUACACUGCACGCCAGUGCGAUAAGGGGACUCCAAGUGCGAGGGCAUAUAGUCCUCGCUUUUUGCGACCGUAAGGUGGUCGCGGAAUAAGUGCUGGGCAAGACCGGUGCCAGCCGCCGCGGUAAUACCGGCAGCACGAGUGAUGACCGCUGUUAUUGGGCCUAAAGCGUCCGUAGCUGGCCGCACAAGUCUAUCGGGAAAUCUCUCCGCUUAACGGAGAGGCGUCCGGUGG
rnacentral:rRNA from 1 species